rnacentral:tRNA from 1 species
AGGUAAAAUGGCUGAGGUAAGCAUUGAACUGUAAAUUCAAAGACAGAGGUUAACAAUCUCUUUUUACCA